CAUCUUCUCAUCCACCGGGGCCACCCCCACCUUCUCUCGAAUAACUUCUUUCUUAAUCUUAUCCAACCUGGUGAGCCCACACAUCCACCUGAGCAUCCUCAUCUCUGCAACCUUCAUUCUCUGAACAUGAGAGUUUUUCACUUGCCAGCCCUCCGCCCCAUAUAGCAUGACAGGUCUAACCACAGCUCUAUAAAAUUUCCCCUUGAAUUUCUGUGGAACUUUCUUGUCACACCGGACUCCUGAUGCAAGCCUCCACUUUGAC
rnacentral:lncRNA from 1 species